rnacentral:rRNA from 1 species
GGGUUGUGAGGUUAAGCGACUAAGCGUACACGGUGGAUGCCCUGGCAGUCAGAGGCGAUGAAGGACGUGCUAAUCUGCGAUAAGCGCCGGUAAGGUGAUAUGAACCGUUAUAACCGGCGAUUUCCGAAUGGGGAAACCCAGUGUGAUUCGUCACACUAUCAUUAACUGAAUCCAUAGGUUAAUGAGGCGAACCGGGGGAACUGAAACAUCUAAGUACCCCGAGGAAAAGAAAUCAACCGAGAUUCCCCCAGUAGCGGCGAGCGAACGGGGAGGAGCCCAGAGCCUGAAUCAGCAUGUGUGUUAGUGGAAGCGUCUGGAAAGGCGCGCGAUACAGGGUGACAGCCCCGUACACAAAAGCGCAUGUGCUGUGAGCUCGAUGAGUAGGGCGGGACACGUGGUAUCCUGUCUGAAUAUGGGGGGACCAUCCUCCAAGGCUAAAUACUCCUGACUGACCGAUAGUGAACCAGUACCGUGAGGGAAAGGCGAAAAGAACCCCGGCGAGGGGAGUGAAAAAGAACCUGAAACCGUGUACGUACAAGCAGUGGGAGCACCCUUCGGGGUGUGACUGCGUACCUUUUGUAUAAUGGGUCAGCGACUUAUAUUCUGUAGCAAGGUUAACCGUAUAGGGGAGCCGGAGGGAAACCGAGUCUUAAUUGGGCGUUAAGUUGCAGGGUAUAGACCCGAAACCCGGUGAUCUAGCCAUGGGCAGGUUGAAGGUUGGGUAACACUAACUGGAGGACCGAACCGACUAAUGUUGAAAAAUUAGCGGAUGACCUGUGGCU